rnacentral:lncRNA from 1 species
ACCUAACUAUUUAAUUAUGUUAUUAUAUCUUGUCUUAUAUUGGGGUUUUAAUUUAAGUAUGGGGUUUCUACGUACUGUUUAAGUGUUUAACAGAACCGAGUAAUCUCCGGUGAGGACGUUGGUCAGCCUGAAAGAUAGGUCGUUAAGCUUAGGGAGAAGCGCGUAAGACCUUGUUGGUGGUCCCGUCACUGAGUAAAACACUUAGCUGUCCUUAGAGUAAUGCCAUUAAGACUUAUUAAUAUCCCAUAAGCCAU